rnacentral:tRNA from 1 species
CCUUCGAUAGCUCAGUUGGUAGAGCGGAGGACUGUAGAUCCUUAGGUCGCUGGUUGGACUCCGGCUCGAAGGA